GACGAACGCUGGCGGCGUGCCUAAUGCAUGCAAGUCGAGCGGGCUACAGUCUUCGGAUUGUAGCUUAGCGGCGAACGGGUGAGUAACACGUAGGUAAUCUACCCUUCAGAGGAGGACAACCUCAGGAAACUGAGGCUAAACCUCCAUACGUUCAUAUGCAGGGAUGCAGAUGAAGAAAGAGUUACCCGUGAGGGUAGCUGCUGAAGGAUGAGCCUGCGGCCCAUCAGGUAGUUGGUGAGGUAACGGCUCACCAAGCCUAAGACGGGUAACCGGUCUGAGAGGAUGUCCGGUCACACUGGGACUGAGACACGGCCCAGACUCCUACGGGAGGCAGCAGCUAAGAAUAUUCCGCAAUGGACGAAAGUCUGACGGAGCGACGCCGCGUGGAUGAAGAAGGCCGAAAGGUUGUAAAGUCUUUUGCUAGGGGAAAUAAGUGAGGGAGGAAUGCCCUAUGAUGACAAGGCUAGCGAAUAAGCCCCGGCAACUACG
rnacentral:rRNA from 1 species